rnacentral:rRNA from 1 species
UACGUAGGGCGCAAGCGUUAUCCGGAAUUAUUGGGCGUAAAGAGCUCGUAGGCGGUUUGUCGCGUCUGCCGUGAAAGUCCGGGGCUCAACUCCGGAUCUGCGGUGGGUACGGGCAGACUAGAGUGAUGUAGGGGAGACUGGAAUUCCUGGUGUAGCGGUGAAAUGCGCAGAUAUCUGGAGGAAUACCGGUGGCGAAGGCGGCAUCCUGGACCGACAUUGACGCUGAGGAGCGAAAGCUAGGGGAGCAAACGGG